ensembl:snRNA U6 U6 spliceosomal RNA
GUGCUGGGAUUACGGGCGUGAGCCACUGCACCUGGCCUGGAAGCACAUAUAUUAAAACUGGAAAAAUACAGAGAAGAUUAGCAGAAGGAUGACAUGCAGAUUUGUGAAGCAUUCCAUAUAAAA